GACGAACGCUGGUGGCGUGCUUAACACAUGCAAGUCGAACGGAAAGGCCCUGCUUUUGUGGGGUGCUCGAGUGGCGAACGGGUGAGUAACACGUGAGUAACCUGCCCUCGACUUUGGGAUAACUUCAGGAAACUGGGGCUAAUACCGGAUAGGAGCUCCUGCUGCAUGGUGGGGGUUGGAAAGUUUCGGCGGUUGGGGAUGGACUCGCGGCUUAUCAGCUUGUUGGUGGGGUAGUGGCUUACCAAGGCUUUGACGGGUAGCCGGCCUGAGAGGGUGACCGGCCACAUUGGGACUGAGAUACGGCCCAGACUCCUACGGGAGGCAGCAGUGGGGAAUAUUGCACAAUGGGCGGAAGCCUGAUGCAGCAACGCCGCGUGCGGGAUGACGGCCUUCGGGUUGUAAACCGCUUUCGCCUGUGACGAAGCGUGAGUGACGGUAAUGGGUAAAGAAGCACCGGCUAACUACGUG
rnacentral:rRNA from 1 species